GAACCAGUAACGCAGAUAGAAUGCUCUAAAUGUGUGGUAGAGUGCAACUGGAUUGUCAUAGAGUGCAGUGCGUUCAGCUUCCAAUGUUGGAUGGUUCCCAACAGCUGAUGCCAUGUAAGGGUUCACCCCAAGCAAUGGCUCUCCACGAGACAGUUCCACAUAAAGACAACGCUGAAAUCAGCACCGUUCUUUUGGAUUCAUUCUUAUGAGACAUAACAAUCAGCAACAUGCGACUAAAACAAUCACUUCUACAAUAGAACUCUGAGAAUGUGAAUAACUCCAGGUGCUCCUCCCCAUGGUUGGGAGCUCAAAUUAAGUUGUAGAAUUUCAGAAUGCA